GACAGAGGGUGCAAACGUUGUCCGGAUUUACUGGGCGUAAAGAGCGCGCAGGCGGUCGUUCAAGUCGAGUGUGAAAGCCCCCGGCUCAACUGGGGAGGGUCAUUCGAUACUGAUCGACUCGAAGGCAGGAGAGGGUAGUGGAAUUCCCGGUGUAGUGGUGAAAUGCGUAGAUAUCGGGAGGAACACCAGUGGCGAAGGCGACUACCUGGCCUGUUCUUGACGCUGAGGCGCGAAAGCUAGGGGAGCAAACGGG
rnacentral:rRNA from 1 species